UUGAACCCCUUUUGAACGAAGCGGGCAGCAUGCCUAACACAUGCAAGUCGAACGAGAUCUUGGGAUCUAGUGUGGCACGGAUGCGUAACGCGUGGGAAAUGUGCCCUUGGGUGGGGACUAACGGACUGUAAAGACUGGUUGAACCGUACGGACCAUAGAU
rnacentral:rRNA from 1 species